rnacentral:rRNA from 1 species
CCCUUAGAUGUUCUGGGCUGCGCGCGCGCUACACUGAUGCGUUCAACAAGUCGGACCUCGUCCGAGAGGAAAUCGGGGGAAUCUUUUGAAAACGUAUCGUGAUGGGGAUAGAUUAUUGUAAUUAUUAAUCUUCAACGAGGAAUUCCUAGUAAGCAUGAAUCAUCAGCUCGUGCUGAUUACGUCCCUGCCCUUUGUACGCACCGCCCGUCGCUACUACCGAUUGGACGGUUUAGCGAGGCCCUCGGAUCGGUACCAGGAUUCUUAACCGAGUCACUGGCAACCGAGAAGGCGGUCGAACUUGACCGUCUAGAGGAAGUAAAAGUCGUAACA